UACGGAGGGUGCUAGCGUUGUUCGGAAUUACUGGGCGUAAAGAGCGCGCAGGCGGUCGUACAAGUCGCGUGUGAAAGCCCCUGGCUCAACUGGGGAGGGUCACGCGAUACUGUUCGACUCGAAGGCAGGAGAGGGAAGUGGAAUUCCCGGUGUAGUGGUGAAAUGCGUAGAUAUCGGGAGGAACACCAGUGGCGAAGGCGACUUCCUGGCCUGUUCUUGACGCUGAGGCGCGAAAGCUAGGGUAGCAAACGGG
rnacentral:rRNA from 1 species